UGGGGAAUAUUGCGCAAUGGGCGAAAGCCUGACGCAGCGACGCCUCGUGAGGGAUGAAGGUCUUCGGAUCGUAAACCUCUGUCAAGAGGGAAGAAACCCUUGGAUUCGAAUAGGGUCCUUGGCUGACGGUACCUCAAAAGGAAGCACCGGCUAACUCCGUGCCAGCCGCCGCGGUAAUACGGAGGGUGCAAGCGUUAAUCGGAAUCACUGGGCGUAAAGCGCUCGUAGGCGGUUUGGUCAGUAAGAUGUGAAAGCCCUCGGCUUAACCGGGGAACUGCAUGUGAUACUGUCAGACUUGAGUGUCGGAGAGGGUGGCGGAAUUCCGGGUGUAGGAGUGAAAUCCGUAGAUAGCCGGAGGAACACCAGUGGCGAAGGCGGCCACCUGGACGACAACUGACGCUGAGGAGCGAAAGCGUGGGGAGCAAACAGGAUGAGAGACCCGGUAGUC
rnacentral:rRNA from 1 species